CAUUGUCAAGGGUCUCGACGAAUGGCCUAAUGAGUACCAAAGACAGUAUGGUACCAUCGAUUUAUACUGGAUAGUGAGAGAUGGUGGUCUCAUGCUUCUACUCUCUCAGCUCCUCCUUACAAAAGAUAGCUUUGAAGGCUGUAAGAUACAGGUGUUCUGCAUUGCAGAGGAAGAUUCUGAUGCAGAGGGAUUGAAGGCUGAUGUAAAGAAGUUUCUUUAUGACCUCCGGAUGCAAGCUGAAGUUAUUGUCAUUUCCAUGAAGUCAUGG
rnacentral:misc_RNA from 1 species